ACGCAGCGAAAUGCGAUAAUUAAUGUGAAUUGCAGAAUUCAGUGAAUCAUCGAGUCUUUGAACGCACAUUGCGCCCCCUGGUAUUCCGGGGGGCAUGCCUGUCCGAGCGUCAUUGCUGCCCUCAAGCACGGCUUGUGUGUUGGGCUUCCGUCCCUGGUAACGGGGACGGGCCCAAAAGGCAGUGGCGGCACCAUGUCUGGUCCUCGAGCGUAUGGGGCUUUGUCACCCGCUCCCGUAGGUCCAGCUGGCAGCUAGCCUCGCAACCAAUCUUUUUAACCAGGUUGACCUCGGAUCAGGUAGGGAUACCCGCUGAACUUAA
rnacentral:rRNA from 1 species